AGUGAACGCUGGCGGUAGGCCUAACACAUGCCAGUCGAACGGCAGCACAGUAAGAGCUUGCUCUUACGGGUGGCGAGUGGCGGACGGGUGAGGAAUACAUCGGAAUCUACUUUUUCGUGGGGGAUAACGUAGGGAAACUUACGCUAAUACCGCAUACGACCUACGGGUGAAAGCAGGGGAUCUUCGGACCUUGCGCGAUUGAAUGAGCCGAUGUUGGAUUAGCUAGUUGGCGGGGUAAAGGCCCACCAAGGCGACGAUCCGUAGCUGGUCUGAGAGGAUGAUCAGCCACACUGGAACUGAGACACGGUCCAGACUCCUACGGGGGGCAGCAGUGGGGAAUAUUGGACAAUGGGCGCAAGCCUGAUCCAGCCAUACCGCGUGGGUGAAGAAGGCCUUCGGGUUGUAAAGCCCUUUUGUUGGGAAAGAAAAGCAGCAGGUUAAGACCCCGCUGUUCUGACGGUACCCAAAGAAUAAGCACCGGCUAACUUCGG
rnacentral:rRNA from 1 species